AUACGUAGGUGGCGCGCGUUGUCCGGAAUUACUGGGCGUAAAGGAUGCGUAGGUGGAUAUUUAAGUGGGAUGUGAAAUCCCCGGGCUCAACCCGGGAACUGCAUUCCAAACUGGGUAUCUAGAGUGCAGGAGAGGAAAGCGGAAUUCCUAGUGUAGCGGUGAAAUGCGUAGAUAUUAGGAGGAACACCAGUGGCGAAGGCGGCUUUCUGGACUGUAACUGACACUGAGGCAUGAAAGCGUGGGUAGCAAACAGGAUUAGAUACCCUGGUAGUCCACGCCGUAAACGAUGGGUACUAGGUGUAGGAGGUAUCGACCCCUUCUGUGCCGUCGUUAACACAAUAAGUACCCCGCCUGGGGAGUACGGUCGCAAGACUAAAACUCAAAUGAAUUGACGGGG
rnacentral:rRNA from 1 species